CUUAAUGAAGGGGAUAAAGCAUUGGGCGUACACCCUUCCCAGCUCUUCCUAGCCACCAUCAGUCCUCCGUGACAUGCACCUGUAGUGCCACAGGCCCAAGGCAACAGAACAAGAAGCGUAGACUGAAACCUCUGGAACCGUGAGCAGAAAUAAGCUUUUCUCCCUUGAUUAUCUCAGCCAUUAGCAUUCAAAAGCUGACUUACAUAUAGAAGCUGGAAAAAAUAGUAUCUACUGGGGGAGGAGGUGCGUGAUGGAGCUCCACCAGUGCCAAAUACAGACUCGUCCACAGCUCAGCAGGAUCAUCCUUGAAGACCACAGCACUCAUGGCCUCCUGGGUAGCCGCUUCUCCCACGUAAGGGCAGAAUGAGUGUGACCGCGGUCUGCAGGGCCUGAGCUUGGGUCUUGGGUCUUCGUACUGCGUGUCAGAGGGAGGGAGCACCCUGACCAGUGUGCUGUCUGGGAUCAAGUACCCUGCAUGGCCACACCUGGGAGUCUGCAGCAAAGCCAGGUCAGGGGUUUGGAGCGAGACAAGCUGGCAGCAGGUGCCUGUUGCUGGUCAUCCCCUCACAUCAUCCGGAGUUCCCAGACUCCUCCCUUCCAAACAUUUCAGAAGAACAUCAGCACCCCUGCUUUCCUUGAGCCUUGAAUUGGGCAUCGUGCUACGGCUGCUGAGGCUCAGUGGGAAACAUUUGUGUUCACGGGACGCUGGCGCACUGCUGAGAACUCCAGAGCCUCCAGGAAAGUCGAGUUGCAAGAACCAAGCUUGUGCAGAAUCCUCCGGGAUUUUAUUUUAUUUUCCUGUCUUUCUUCCCUCCUAUAAAUGAUCCUGGAAUCUCACCUGCCCUCAUGAGAUGGGCGGCCCUCAGCAGCUUCCAUCCUCCGUCCUAUGCCAGAGUGGAAAAGACCCAGCACCGGGAAAUAAAGAGUGUCCAAAUCAUCACCCCUGGUUGAUGACGCUGUUUUGGGGAAGCUAUGGAAUCUUCAGGAAGUCGGGCCUUAAUAGAGGAGGUGUACCAGUGAGGGCAGGCUUCAAUGGCCUGCCGCCAUGACACCCCACCACUUAUGGACUCUCACUCUGGAACUGUAAGCCCAAAUAAACUCUUCCAUAAAUCA